rnacentral:rRNA from 1 species
UACGGAGGGUGCAAGCGUUAUCCGGAUUUAUUGGGUUUAAAGGGUCCGUAGGCGGAUCUGUAAGUCAGUGGUGAAAUCUCACAGCUUAACUGUGAAACUGCCAUUGAUACUGCAGGUCUUGAGUAAGGUAGAAGUGGCUGGAAUAAGUAGUGUAGCGGUGAAAUGCAUAGAUAUUACUUAGAACACCAAUUGCGAAGGCAGGUCACUAUGUCUUAACUGACGCUGAUGGACGAAAGCGUGGGGGAGCGAACAGG